UCUUAGCGAUUGUAGAGUGCAGUUUUGCAGUUGUCUUCCUGAGUUUGUCCAGCUGUUGCAGUUUGGAUUCUGGGGAGGAACGCCAACAAGGCCAAGAAUAGCAUUUGAGAUAGAGCUCUUGGAAAUAAUUCAUAGUAUCCAAUUAGAAUGUCAUGCUUCAUUAAAGAGUAUUCGCCUAGCAUUGGAAUCAAGAAAGGCAACUAUGAUAACUCUACAACAUCUUCUUCAAAGCUCUAUCCUGUCAUAAUUUAUGCAUUUGAAGAAUUCAGAUUGUAUAAAUAUAGGCUGGACACUUUACGCUCUGUUAUCCCAGAGCUUGACGAAGGCAACGUGUGUCCUGCAUGUCCCAAGUCUAAUGGAGCUGUUUUUUACUCCCUUGAUGCCUUGUUUAUUGGCCGAAGAAAGAAUGCCGGGAAAAGUUGUGGAAUUCCAAAUUUGGGUGAAGUGAUGUUUUAUGAUAAAAAAAAAAGUUGACAAAUUUGUUGCUGAGUAUA